GCCCAUUGUGUCUCUUAAAUAUGGAUGGACUUCCACAGAUUAGAAACACAACUGUUGUGAAUCUGCCCUCGAAGGUCACUUCAUCCAGCAUAGGUUCUGUGCAUUAGCUGAAGCUCCGUGAUGGAGGAGGAAGACACCGGGCAGACAAUUUUGGCUCCUGUUGCAACUGAAGGAAAAUCUGUACCAGGACUUCUCUUUGCAUUGUUUAUAUUCCUCGCAGGUAAGUUGAC